rnacentral:piRNA from 1 species
UUCCAGCAAGACUGGAUGGAACGCUUAAG